rnacentral:rRNA from 1 species
AUCAGCGUACAAGCUCGCCGAAGGACCGCUAAACUCUGUCUGACAGUGUAUUCUGAAUGCUUCAACUAAAUAGUUAAAACUUUCAACAACGGAUCUCUUGGUUCUGGCAUCGAUGAAGAACGCAGCGAAAUGCGAUAAGUAAUGUGAAUUGCAGAAUUCGGUGAAUCAUCGAAUCUUUGAACGCACAUUGCGCUCAUUAGUAUUCUAGUGGGCAUGCCUAUUCGAGCGUCAUUU